AACUGUCAGUCUGUGGCCAAACGGUUCCGUUUCGAUGCGGUUCCAUUCUAACCCCCGCCGAAUUGUGGGACAAUUUAGUUCGUAAUGUGAAAUCAAUAAGUUGUCCAUUAAAUGCAUGCCAGUCACGUAAUGCAAUAGAUAUCAUGUACAUUUGAUUGCACAUUGUGUCAUUACCAGAGCAAUCGAAUGUGUCACUUCCUGAUUUAAUCAAUCAAUCGCCUUUUCUGUAACAUCUCAAAGCGGUCGAGUAGGUAAACAAACCCCCUGGAAAACCUUGCACUCGUCUUCCGCGAACCGAAAAUCAACACAACCACAUGUUCUCUAUCCCAGCGUUAUAGUCAUAUUCGAUCCGGUAUACAAAUAGUCGCAGACUUCAACAAGGCAUAAAUCUAUUCGCACCAUUGAACGCGCGAAAUUAAACAUUAAUAACGUACUAGAAAAGCCAUAUCGAAUAAAAUAUAUCUCCCAGUAUAUUUAGAGAUCAUCGGCGUAGUCAGCAAAAAAAUAUUCGUGCUCUGUUUGCUCGUCAAUUCUUGUGUUUUUGAAGUGCCGUGUGUCAUAUGCGAAACAAUUUCAAAAACGAAUCACUCGAAAAUAGACGCUGACUCUGAAGGUCUAUAAAUAUUCUCGCCAAUCGAAACAAAAACUAACAUAAACACACCUGGCAGAAGGCGUUUUAUUUAAUAUUUAUGAGUGAGAGAAAUAUAUUAAAACAAAAAAUAAUUUAUUUAGUUUGGCAAGCCCCAUGGCAACGUAUUUUCGUGGUCAACGUCACGGAGCAUAAGAGAUACCUAUACGGUUGGGAUGCCGGGGAAUUAAUAGAAAUGUGAAUAAUGCCUGCAAGUGGAUGUGGGAUGUGUCAAAAAAUAUAGUUCCUAAGUGCGCGACUUUAUUUUGAGAGGUGGGUUCCUUAAAGUGCAUUAGAAAUAAGCACUUUGCUUUCGGGUUGUGAAAACACUCUCUUGAGUGACUCACACAUUAUACAACACUAUCAGCAGGCACGUGUUAUAAAUAUUAUAAUAUAACUAAGUAUUUUGUCAACAAUAUAUUGGAAUCGGACGAUCUCUUAAAAUUCUCUCUUGAGUGAGAGUUUUGAGUGGUGUGAAAAGCUUUUGGGUCAGCUGUGUUAGGCAUUUUGGCAUCAUAUUUAUAUUUAGAAAAUCAUUUGGAUACGGUUAUGGAACAUUUCGAAUGUUUUUCUCGAGAGGCCAAUACACACACCCAAGGAUUUAUUCCUACCAGAUGAGGUGGCUCAAUUCGAACCGAAUCCCCCGAAACAAACUGAACUGAACUCAACCCAAACACCCACCCACCGGUCAUUCCAACCAGGUAGCCUCCCAUUUAAAUGCAGAAUUCUCAGGUAUGCACACCCAAUUAAAUCAAUUAAAACUACGAAAAACCAUUUCGAAAUCAUUUUGUUUUCAUGGAACCCACUGGGGCAUAUAUUAUUGGAUGUUAUGUGUGUGUGUAUGCAGAAUAUGUAUGCUGAUAUAUAUAAAUAUUUUAUAUCUGCCAUGGCUCGCAUAGGAAUCAGAAUGCAAGAGAUUAGAUGGGUGAGAAAUCAUUCAAACAUCAUUA